AUUCCAGCUCCAAUAGCAUAUAUUAAAGUUGUUGCAGUUAAAAAGCUCGUAGUUGGAUUUCUGGCAUGAUGCGCCUGGCCCGCCGUGAUUACGCGUGUGUGUGCUAGUGCGCGUCUGCCAUCCAUUGGCAGAAUAUGUCUACCCUUAAUUGGGCCGGAUAUGUGAUGUCAAUCUUUUACUUUGAAAAAAUUAGAGUGUUUAAAGCAGGCAUUUGCUAUGAAUACAUUAGCAUGGAAUAAUAAUCUAGGACUUCGGUUCUAUUUUGUUGGUUUCUAGAUCUGGAGUAAUGAUUGAUAGGGACAGUUGGGGGUGCUAGUAUUAAGGGGCCAGAGGUGAACUUCUUGGAUUCUCUUAAGACUAACUUAUGCGAAAGCAUUCACCAAGGAUGUCUUCAUCA
rnacentral:rRNA from 1 species